GGAGAGAUGGCUGAGUGGCUGAAGGCGCACGCCUGGAAAGUGUGUUUAGGUUAAUCCCUAACGAGGGUUCGAAUCCCUCUCUCUCCACCA
rnacentral:tRNA from 27 species